AUUGAACGCUGGCGGCAGGCCUAACACAUGCAAGUCGAGCGAGCGGCGGACGGGUGAGUAAUGUAUGGGGACUGCCAGAUCGAGGGGGAUAACUACUGGAAACGGUGGAUAAUACCGCAUACUGUAGGAUAAUCCAUAUGGGAUUAGCUAGUAGGUAAGGUAAUGGCUUACCUAGGCGACGAUCCCUAGCUGGUCUGAGAGGAUGAUCAGACACACUGGGACUGAGACACGGCCCAGACUCCUACGGAGGCAGCAGUGGGGAAUAUUGGACAAUGGGCGCAAGCCUGAUGCAGCCAUGCCGCGUGUAUGAAGAAGGCCCUAGGGUUGUAAAGUACUUUCAGUCGGGAGGCGUUACCGACAGAAGAAGCACCGGCUAACUUCGUGCCAGCAGCCGCGGUAAUAC
rnacentral:rRNA from 1 species